GCUGAGCUUGGUAACGCAAGUCUGUAACCCAAGUGGUAGCAUUAAGGUGAUGGAACAUGGGUUCGUUUCAUUGAGCUGGAUCCAUCGUGGUCUACAUCUGACUUGCCCAUACCAAGCCGAGAGUUGGGCCGAGGGAAUUGAGCGAAAGCUCUGGUUCUCGUGGUUCUUAGAGUGGAGAGUUCUGCGUGAGGCUGGUUUCACAGAGCAGCGAUCAUCUCCCGCUCUCGGUAGUGGAAGGAUAACUAGUCAGUUCCACUAGGAUCCGUCAUAACUCAAUGAGUUGAUCCCUGACUGAACCACAUCUUU
rfam:Gossypium raimondii chromosome 1, whole genome shotgun sequence.